ACAUCCAGCGAACUUGGCAGAGGAUGCCUUGGUGCCUUCGGGAACGCUGAGACAGGUGCUGCAUGGCUGUCGUCAGCUCGUGUUGUGAAAUGUUGGGUUAAGUCCCGNAACGAGCGCAACCCUUAUCCUUUGUUGCCAGCGAUUCGGUCGGGAACUCAAAGGAGACUGCCGGUGAUAAACCGGAGGAAGGUGGGGAUGACGUCAAGUCAUCAUGGCCCUUACGAGUAGGGCUACACACGUGCUACAAUGGCGCAUACAAAGAGAAGCGACCUCGCGAGAGCAAGCGGACCUCAUAAAGUGCGUCGUAGUCCGGAUCGGAGUCUGCAACUCGACUCCGUGAAGUCGGAAUCGCUAGUAAUCGUGGAUCAGAAUGCCACGGUGAAUACGUUCCCGGGCCUUGUACACACCGCCCGUCACACCAUGGGAGUGGGUUGCAAAAGAAGUAGGUAGCUUAACCUUCGGGAGGGCGCUUACCACUUUGUGAUUCAUGACUGGGGUGAAGUCGUAACAAGGUAAGCGUAGCGAG
rnacentral:rRNA from 1 species